GGAAGUAAAAGUCGUAACAAGGUCUCCGUAGGUGAACCUGCGGAGGGAUCAUUAGCGAGUUAUCACAACUCUCCCAAACCCAUUGUGAACCUACCCUUCACGUUGCUUCGGCGGGUCGGGCGCUGUGCCGCCCCUCCGGGCGACCCGGGGCUCCCCAAGGCCCCGGGCCCGCCGCCCGCCGGAGGUACGCAAACUCUUGUUCAUUGUACGGCCUCUCUGAGUGAAGUACUGAAUAAGUCAAAACUUUCAACAACGGAUCUCUUGGUUCUGGCAUCGAUGAAGAACGCAGCGAAAUGCGAUAAGUAAUGUGAAUUGCAGAAUUCCGUGAAUCAUCGAAUCUUUGAACGCACAUUGCGCCCGCCGGUAUUCCGGCGGGCAUGCCUGUUCGAGCGUCAUUUCAACCAUCAAGCCCUGGGCUUGUGUUGGGGACCCGCGGCUGCUCGCGGGCCCUGAAAAGCAGUGGCGGGCUCGCUAGUCACACCGAGCGUAGUAGAGCUUCUAUUCGAUCUCGCUCAGGGCGUGCGGCGGGUGCCGGCCGUAAAACCCCAGCUUCUUCUAAGGUUGACCUCGGAUCAGGUAGGAGGACCCGCUGAACUUAAGCAUAUCAAUAAGCGGAGGA
rnacentral:misc_RNA from 1 species